UACAGAGGGUGCGAGCGUUGUUCGGAAUUAUUGGGCGUAAAGGGCGCGUAGGCGGUGCGGUAAGUCACCUGUGAAAUCUCCUGGCUCAACUGGGAGCUUGCAGGCGAAACUGCCGUGCUGGAGUGUGGGAGAGGUGCGUGGAAUUCCGGGUGUAGCGGUGGAAUGCGUAGAGAUCCGGAAGAACACCAGUGGCGAAGGCGGCCCGCUGGGCAGUGGCUGACGCUGAAGCGCGACAGCGUGGGGAGCAAACAGG
rnacentral:rRNA from 1 species